rnacentral:misc_RNA from 1 species
UAAAAAGAAUUUGUUUUCAUAGACUAUAACAACGCAUUCUUCAACUUUCUUCAAAACUUUAUUUUGUUUAGAGCUUGAUUUUGGUACAUUACAAUGUCUCAGAAGAAAGGCCACAUAGGCUAUUGCAUGGGAAACAGGGAUGUGGUCAAGGAAAAAAAAGUACACCUUUUCUCAAGAGCUCUGAUUUUGGAAAGUCAGCAUUUGACAUUAAUCAGAAAGGAAGUAGAAUAACAUCAUGUAUUGCAACUCUAGAGAAUGAUAUCACAGGACCCGGUGAUGGAAAAAUUCAAUUCAUCUGUGGAAUAUAAUGCAGGCUUGUAAAGAUAAAAGCCAGGAGGACUUGAGGUUUUAGGACUACCAGUUAGGUGAUAAAGGAAAAGAAAGUACAACACCCUCUGCUCAAGAGAUCUAGUCUUGGGAAGUCCGCAUUUAGUACUAAUCUGAAAGGAAGUAGAACAACAUUAUUUAUUGCAACUCCAGAGAUAGAUUGCACAAGAUCGGAGGUGGACAAGUUCAAUCCAUUAGUGGAAUGCAGUCUUAUCAAGAAAAAAUCCAGAGGGAGUUGAGGUUUGAGGACGACAGUUAGGUAAUAAAGGUGUACGUAACUUGAUUUCUUGUCUGUAGAUAUCAAAGAAAUCUACCUUGCAUUCAAUUAACACUUUUUAUACUUCAUGGUGGGUGAUUGGCAGGUCAGAAAGGUUGGUGUUCAUAGUGUUUCCAGUACACAGGGAGUGUCAUCGACAACACUCUAGGCCUUUCAUAUCACUUGUAUUUAACCAAUCAACUGUUGAUCAAACUUUUUAUCCUCAUUUUAAAUACAUUUGCAGUGGAAAGAACAGGGCUUGACAUAAUAAAAUGAAAAAUUCUACAGCAACUGCAUCUACCCAUUUCCGAAGUCAUAACAGUUCAUUUUCCAUAUAUUUCCCCCAAUACAUUAUUGAUAAACUCUUUUGCACUUGCAGUAGAGUUGAAUCUAGUGCCUCAGACGUUUCUCCUUUCUCCAUGGAUCCAUUCAAGACCGUUUUCACCUUUAAAACCAACUUCCAGUUCUUCCACUACGUCCAUUUUUUCUCCAUCAAGGAAUGCAUGGGCUUUAUCAACAUCUGCGACUGUAUCACAUAACAAUCUCCACUGCCUCCAUGUUCAGUGUCACCUUCCAAGUAUACUUCGUUAACAAAACUAUCAGGCCACUCCUGUUUUGUCAAAAGAACUUUUCUCCUUCUCCCGUUAUACCUAUAGGUGGCCAGCCACAAUCAACAUUAUGUUUCAAGCACUCCACUUGCUGCCAGUUAAAAUGCUUUUAAGUGUUUCUGAACGUUUAUGCAAUUAUAUCUCAUUUAUACUUAUCUGCCAUUGACUUUCAGUCAUAUAAAUAAUAAAAAAGGCACCUUAUGGUCGAUAAAAUCGGUGAAGAACUUCUAUUGUGGUGUUGUAUAUCUAAGCUAUUGCUAUUCUUGCAGCCUUUGUUCUUUGGUCCUCUGCAGCCAGAAAUGACUCCAUAAAGUUGGAGGAACACUUCAACAACCAACGCUUCUCACCCAUCAACUGUUACUCAGUACAGUUUGCCUGGCUCUUUUGAGGUUGAUAGUAUGCUGGAUUGUAAUCCAUGUAACUAAUCCUCCCAGCACCUGUUAUUUAAGAAGGGUCUAGUUGCUCAGAAAUUGGACUAGGAGUUGGUUAGCCAAGUAUCAACGACCAACAGAAUGUGGCUCAAGGAUCCUACCAAGUUUAGGUUUACGUUCUUGAACAAUGAUCUAUUGCCUUUUCCAUUCAGCAUUGCAUUGUACAUUAUCCUUAUGUGCUUGUGAAAGACAUGAUGCUUUUUGGAUGAAGUGUACAUAUGGAGAAGUGAGAACCUUGUGAGUUAAUUUGAUGUCUGUUCGGUGUGCUUUGUGACGUUGGUACCUUUGCCUUUGGUGCCUAGAUUGUUCUUUUUUUAAUUGUGUCUCUGGUCUUUUUCUCUAAAAACAUUUUCUUGCUACUUGUUUCAGCAUCCUUGGCAUACUCGUAUCGGUAAUCUUAACAUCUUUGACGCACGUGACUUUGGUAUUUGUGAUUAUUAUAUCCAUGUGCUUUUGCUUCGUUUAUCACUUUGGUCUUCGAGUGCAACAAACUGUGUUUUGACUCUUCUUUUCUCUUGAGAUAACAUAUGGCUUAAUGUUCUUUUUGUUCUUUCUUUUGGGGCAUGCUUUUGUAGGGUGCACGGCAGCUUUGGAUGCUGAACAUUACUUGCAAGAAAUCGGUGCCCUAGAGGGGCCUGUCUCUUCUUUUUCUUGCCCCUGUUAUCCUUAUUUGUACUUUCUCAUGCACCAGCUAUACCUUAACAUAUUUGCAGGUUUUACUUUCCGAGAAUCAUGGAAGUGAAUCCAUCACCAGUUACGCCUCCUGCUGAAACACAACCUUCAGUCCAAAUCUCGGUAGAGCACCCAAAUUUGGCAACAUCCAUCCUGUACGGAGUUUCUAGUUUACCUGUCUCUAACAACCCUGCUAUGAUCAGGCAAAAAUAUUCAUCGAUAAUUCGACAUUCAUCUCUAAGUAAAACAUAUGUUGCACCGAAAUACAAACCUACAAGUGAUAUACCAAAGGGGAGAAGUUGGAUUUUAUGUGAGGCUUGUUUAGUAGUUUGUGUCAUGCUUUGGUUGAUCGAUCAGAAGUGUAAGAAUAACACAUAUCAUAUGCAAAGAUUGCAAUUCUCUUUUUCAUGGAUGAAGAAAACGCUUCUGACGUAAAAAGGACAGAAGUCAUCAUCAUUCAAAGGGACUGGGAUUUUUCUAAAAUUUUCCCUUCUACCAACAAUGUUGAAGUUUGAGGUGGGAAUUCACUCAGGGUUCAAGGUGGCAAUAUUCCCUUCUACCACACAGUUCAAUUUUUUGGUUUAUUUUAUGAAACAGGGAUCAGGUAUUUCAUAUUUUUGGUAAACAAAAACUGUGGAACCUAGAUUUUACAAAAUCAAAACCAGUAGCGAAUAUGAAUUACCAGAAACUGAAUUGUUUUGGAUCACUGGUCUUGUAUUUGAAUGCAGGAACCUCUAAUUGGUGUUACGGCAUUCCAUGAGAGGUGUUCAUAUCCUUUGCUAACAACAAAAACAAAUCCAAUGUUAGUCCCAUAUGUGUGGUCUGGGAUAGAGUGUUCACAGACCCCUACCUUGUACACGUAAAGAGGCUCUUUCCAUAAGAUCCUCAGCACGAGUAAUGCAUAUCAAAGCAGUUAAAAAUUUGGUCUUUUCUACUAUUGUAAGAUAAUUGUAUCAGCAUAAAACAUCUAAAGAACAAUGUAAUAUUAUAGAGUUAUAGAUGAUAAGGGUAGGAUAAAUCUUAAAGGUGCAGAAAUAACUAGCAUUCCUAAAAUUUAUUUGAAAGUGCUUUCAAAUUGCGGCUUUCUAGUUAUGUUGAGAAGUCUAUAGGAAGCUUACCUGAGAUUUGGUGCUCUAUUAACCACGUUACCUUUUAUACAGGGGAACGAGAAGAAAUUGUGUGGAGAGUAUAUUUGAAGUAUUUCCAAAUAGAAUAAGUUGGUAUUUUAUCUUAACCUACAGGUUAUUUGCAUCUUAAUGUAUAUGUUUCUAUGUGUUUAUUUAUUGUAACAGGAUAAUUGUUAUUGCACUUUCUGACAUGACUUGAUCACAGGUAUGGAUUUAGAAAAGAAGUUGUUGAAUGCCACGAUAUAGCUUAUGAUGAACUAUCUAUAGACAUCUCUUCAUAGUUCCAUGGGGAAAUUUCCCUGUGUUGAGAAUAAAAUGACAAAAAAU